rnacentral:rRNA from 1 species
CCUACGGGUGACAGCAGUGAGGAAUAUUGGUCAAUGGACGAGAGUCUGAACCAGCCAAGUAGCGUGAAGGAUGACUGCCCUAUGGGUUGUAAACUUCUUUUAUAUGGGAAUAAAACGUUCCACGUGUGGGAUUUUGUAUGUACCAUAUGAAUAAGGAUCGGCUAACUCCGUGCCAGCAGCCGCGGUAAUACGGAGGAUCCGAGCGUUAUCCGGAUUUAUUGGGUUUAAAGGGUGCGUAGGUGGAUUGUUAAGUCAGGUGUGAAAGUUUGGGGCUCAACCGUAACAUUGCAGUUGAAACUGGUAGUCUUGAGUGCAGUAGAGGUAGGCGGAAUGCGUGGUGUAGCGGUGAAAUGCUUAGAUAUCACGAAGAACUCCGAUUGCGAAGGCAGUUCACUGGACUGCAACUGACACUGAGGCACGAAAGUGUGGGUAUCAAACAGGAUUAGAUACCCUAGUAGUC